UAGGGAAUCUUCCGCAAUGGGCGAAAGCCUGACGGAGCAACGCCGCGUGAGUGAUGAAGGUCUUCGGAUCGUAAAACUCUGUUAUUAGGGAAGAACAAAUGUGUAAGUAACUAUGCACGUCUUGACGGUACCUAAUCAGAAAGCCAAGGCUAACUACGUGCAAGCAGCCGCGGUAAUACGUAGGUGGCAAGCGUUAUCCGGAUUUAUUGGGCGUAAAGCGCGCGUAGGCGGUUUUUUAAGUCUGAUGUGAAAGCCCACGGCUCAACCGUGGAGGGUCAUUGGAAACUGGAAAACUUGAGUGCAGAAGAGGAAAGUGGAAUUCCAUGUGUAGCGGUGAAAUGCGCAGAGAUAUGGAGGAACACCAGUGGCGAAGGCGACUUUCUGGUCUGUAACUGACGCUGAUGUGCGAAAGCGUGGGGAUCAAACAGG
rnacentral:rRNA from 1 species